rnacentral:rRNA from 1 species
GUACACACCGCCCGUCACACCAUGGGAGUGGGCUGCACCAGAAGCGGCUAGUCUAACCUUCGGGAGGGCGGCCGCCACGGUGUGGUCAAUGACUGGGGUGAAGUCGUAACAAGGUAGCCGUAGGUGAACCUGCAGAAGGAUCA